AUAUUACACGCAAACUCUAUUUUAUCAUAGUGGCUAAAUUUAAAAGAAAAUAAUUGUUACAAAUUACAUCCAAAUCUUGACUUAUUGGCCAUGCUUUUACACACGCGCAUGAAAUUAUUGUUAUAUUAAUGCAAUCCCAAUGCGACACAUAAUUAUUAUACAUCAAGUUCUGAAAUAACGACUCGCGUAAUUCUACAAAAGUAUAUAUGUGUUUACAAAAGCUUCCAUAUAUAAUUAGUUGUAAGUCAGUUUCAGUUAAUAGUUGAUGAGUUUCAUAGGAGUUCAUGUGAAAUGAAUCAUGAUAUAGAUAUUUGGUGUGCGAUGACGAUGAGUGUGAAUGUGUGAUGCUGAAUAAUGCAUGAGGUGGCGUGCGGUAUAUCCAAUCUUAUUAUUUUUAAACUAGUAGCGCAGAUAUACUUUUUCUUUAAAAAGAAGAACAAUUGUUAUGGGCGAGAUAAAUUAAGGAGAAGCAAAAGAGAAGCUUCAGAUAAAACAAGAAAAAAUAAGUUUAACAAAAUAAAAGAAGUAGUCAGCAAGUUUCAAUCCAAAUUUCCAUUUCAUCCCAAUCUUCUUCUCCAUUCACCCACACACUCUCACUAUUUCUUGAGAGCUCCAUAUAUUCUGCAGGUUUCUUGUAAUAGAUACCGCUCGUCAGUUUCUUCAGUAGGUUCUACCGUCAUAAAACAAAAGGCAAGAAGAUGGAAUUUGAAACUUUUUUCAACCGUGUUGUGAAGGAAGUCAAAGAAGUCCGUCCAUCGAAAACUUUAGUCAUACAUCAAGGAAAGUUUUACAUGGUUUCUCCUCGAAAGAGCGAUAGAGGACAAAUUCUGGAAAUUUGAAAAAUCGGGAAGAACGUAAGAUUGAAACUCACGUUGUAGCUCGAUUUCCCACAGACGGUGCCAGUUGCUGAGUUGUUGAAGUUGGGAACCAAGGCUGGCCCAAACUGAGUUCUCUUUCAUUUGAAAGAAUAUUCGAACCUCGAUGUCUUCUUCGUGUUCAACCAGUGAAGUUAUUGCUGGAGCCAACGUUGUGCUGCUCUCCUAAUUCGGCUAAACAAACGAGAUGUUCGAGCCCUGCAAGUUGUUAACAAUGAUAAGAAUUUUCAGCCAUAUAAAUCAACAAUGAUAAUA